rnacentral:lncRNA from 1 species
CCCACCCCUUUGGCCGCCCCCCUCUCUCUUCCUAUAUUCCACUCUUGCAGCCGCUCCAAUCCCUCUCCUUCUUCCCCAAGUGAUUGCAGCGCCACCCCUCAACCCUAGCCGCCCCCCACCUCUUCCUCUCCAAGGUGGAGCCUCCCCGCUUGGUGUCCGUCGUGUGGGUGCGAGUCUUCCAUGGGAGUUUGGAGGGACGAAGAAGGAAGAAAAGAAGGAGGAAAGGAGGAACCCAAGGUGAUUUUCGUGAUCAUUUUGUUGUAUUUGUGCUGCAAUCCAAUUGGUUACAUGUUUACCUAUGCGAUUUGGUAGAGGUGCUGUCCAGAAAUUUAGUGGAUGGACGAACAGCAGUAGUUCUAGGGAUUUCUGGGAAUUUUUCGUGGGCAAUUAGUGGGGAUCAGUGGGAGAAUCAUGUAGAGCUUUGUCAUACCUUUCCAACAAGUACUUAUGCGCUCGAUUCGGAGUUAUAAUUUAUGAGAUAUCGUUGUUUGAAUCAGGUUAUGUUGCUGUCCAAAAAAAACAGAAUUUUCAGGUGGGUGAACAGCAGUAGUAUUAGCAGUUUCUGGAAAUUUUUCGUGGGUAAUUAGUGUUAACCAGUAUGAUAAUCAUGUAGGGCUUUGUCUUAUCUUUCCAAUGAGUACUUAUGCGCUUGAUUUAGAAUUCUAUUUUAAAAGAUAUCGCUGUUUGAAUCCGGGUAUGUCGCUGUCCAAAAGACAAAAAAACAGAUUACAGGGUUCAUCUUGUGGACUGUUUUGGGCUAAUUAGAUGUUGGAAUUUAAUUAUAAAUUGUAUACAAAACUUGUGUGGAAAUUAAUGUAGAUGCCUCUGGAGUUUUUGUUUGUUACCACUGCUGUCAUAAUUUUAAAGUUAUGAAAUUAUUAAGCAGCGCCGCUGCAGUUUGGUGGGUGUGGGGAGAGAUGUAACCCGCGGCGGGGUUUGAGUUUGUGCGUAGGUGCGGCGUCGCUUAUGAGCCUGAUUAUGUGAAAUUGGUCCAUUAAGUUGUGUGUCAAAAACAGGUGGUGGACUUCCGGAUCGUACUUAGGGAUUUGCCCGAACUUCCGGUAAAGGCAAGUAAAUACAGUGGUGGUUGCUACCGUUUGGUUUACAUCCUAUUCCCUGUCAUUGAGUAUGCAUAAGUUUUAAUUAUGUUAAUCAUUAAAUUCUAUGAUGAAGCUUAUUGUUUGGAAGUAUUAAUUCUCAAUUGUCUAAUAUUGUGGAUGAUCAUAAUUUGGUAAUGAUAUAUGUGGUUGAUUCCCAUCUUGGAUGAAGUUGAAGUAUCUUUUUGAAUCACGUUAUAUGAAGUGUUGUAGGCAUGACAUGCACAUCGCAUCAUCCAUCUUGCAUUUUGAAGCUAUGUCGUGAUCUUAUGGUCCGACCGUACCGGUACAUUUUUAGCAUCGUACGUUGACCGAGGAGGGGUACGAUGCGGCUUCAUAUCCUUAGAGGUAUGAAGGCAGAAGUCAUCCUUGCAUUUGCAGACAUUUGCACUCAUGAGGUAUAUAUGAAGUGUGACAUUACUAUGUUACUAUUGUGGUUUCUACCUGCGAGGUGUGGUGACUAGGUGUGUUGUACGUUGUAUACGUGCUGCACCUUCGUAAUAAGAAGGUUGUGGAAUCAAGUGGUGGUAAAACAAUGUUCUUAUGUGGUUAAACAGUUUGAUAUUAUUUUACUUGCUGGGAUGUGUCAUCUCACUCUUGCAUUACUCAAUGCAGGUACUUGAUACAUGUUGGGAAUGAGGGGAGUAGCAGCACGUCCACUUUCACUCUCACAAUAGCGCUGCCCAGGCGCAGCCAUGAUUUAAUUUGAAAUUUAUUGUCAAAGGAAGUUUGUUUUUUUAACUAGUCGUGCGCACUAGUUAAUCCAGUUCAUGUCAUAAGUUUAACUUCUCUUUGCUAGCUGAUUAAUAAUACUUAGUAUGUUUUUGUCAUGAUAUAUGUUUAUACACUGUUGCCCCC